GGAUCCAGACUUUGACUAUGGCUCAGGACGAACGCUGGCGGCGCGCCUAACACAUGCAAGUCGAACGAGAGAUGAAGAGCUUGCUCUUCAAAUCGAGUGGCGAACGGGUGAGUAACGCGUGAGGAACCUGCCUCAAAGAGGGGGACAACAGUUGGAAACGACUGCUAAUACCGCAUAAGCCCACGGCUCGGCAUCGAGCAGAGGGAAAAGGAGCAAUCCGCUUUGAGAUGGCCUCGCGUCCGAUUAGCUAGUUGGUGAGGUAACGGCCCACCAAGGCGACGAUCGGUAGCCGGACUGAGAGGUUGAACGGCCACAUUGGGACUGAGACACGGCCCAGACUCCUACGGGAGGCAGCAGUGGGGAAUAUUGCACAAUGGGGGAAACCCUGAUGCAGCGACGCCGCGUGGAGGAAGAAGGUCUUCGGAUUGUAAACUCCUGUUGUUGAGGAAGAUAAUGACGGUACUCAACAAGGAAGUGACGGCUAACUACGUGCCAGCAGCCGCGGUAAAACGUAGGUCACAAGCGUUGUCCGGAAUUACUGGGUGUAAAGGGAGCGCAGGCGGGAGAACAAGUUGGAAGUGAAAUCCAUGGGCUCAACCCAUGAACUGCUUUCAAAACUGUUUUUCUUGAGUAGUGCAGAGGUAGGCGGAAUUCCCGGUGUAGCGGUGGAAUGCGUAGAUAUCGGGAGGAACACCAGUGGCGAAGGCGGCCUACUGGGCACCAACUGACGCUGAGGCUCGAAAGUGUGGGUAGCAAACAGGAUUAGAUACCCUGGUAGUCCACACCGUAAACGAUGAUUACUAGGUGUUGGAGGAUUGACCCCUUCAGUGGCGCAGUUAACACAAUAAGUAAUCCACCUGGGGAGUACGAAGGGGAGGUUGCAACUCAAAGGAAUUGACGG
rnacentral:rRNA from 1 species